rnacentral:lncRNA from 1 species
ACCUGUGUCGUCCCCUCGCGUCUGGGCGGCUGCGCUGCUGUUGUGGUAGGACUGGAGUUGCUGAGACAAAGGAAAACCCACUCCCUUGGAGGAGCAUGACCUUUUCCUGUAAUUCUUCCCACUGCUGUUGUUGAGCUCCUUGGAUCCUGGCUCCUGGACACCAUCAUCAAGAAGACUUUAUGGAUGGGCUGUCCACCCACUGAGAGAAGAGGAGCAUCAGCUACAGUUUCUCUCUAGAUUGCCUUCUUCAUUUUGAGUAAUGACUGUCAGCAGGGUCAGAUUAAACACAAAACAACUGGACAAUUGCUUGGAGGACUAAACUAUAAGGGCACUAACAUGUCAAUAGUAGGCUAACACAUCCAUGGAAAAUAUAUUUACCAGCUCUUCUCUCAGGGAGGAUUCUGUGUGGGGUUGGAAGUAAUGAUUUGUUAAAUUCCUUAGGGGUAGAAAGUAGGGCAUAAUCAGAAUAUAGAGGAAUAUGCUGUUUGACUUCAGGGUUUCUGUUUUUCUUACUAGGAUAUAUAAAACAGGGACUCUAGCUAGAUUGUUUAUGACCACAGAGGGUAGGCUGAGUGCUCCCAUGAUCUUCCUGCUUGGUUCUUGCCCAUACAGAGGUCAGCCUUUCCUCUAAUAAAGAUUGAACAAGUAGUGGUCUGAGGGAGACACCAAUUCAUUACCCUACAUGUCUCUUCUCUGCACUCCAGGGCUUUGAUAAUAAAGACACUGGCAGACUAUCUAUCUUCCAUUUCUAUAAUGUGAGCCCUUAGGGAGUCUUCGUUCACUUGGGGGUGAGGGUCAUUGCUCACAGAGUAGUUCAAGUCAAAUGGAACUUGAACUCUUUGCCUAUGGGCCUGGUGGUCAGACUCUGUGUUGAGUUCAUUAGAUUAUUGGAGACACAAGGUAGAGCUGGAUGCUUCAAAAAUAUUUGGCUAAAGGAUGACAUUGCUGGUUAUUUGUAGAUAAAGCCAUGAUGGAACCUGCUUGGAAUCAUGAAAUAUGGAACUGGUGGUCAUGUUUAAAAAUACAACUAAUAGUUAAGUACCUACUGGACACUGUAGAGACUUAGGGGCUAGACAGACAUGGUUCCUGCCCCCUUGGAGCUUACACUGUAGCUUCCCCUUAGGUAUGAAGAACAGUGGCUACAACUAACAAAUGGCCACAAAGAUAUAAUUGAGCCAGUGUUCCAAUUAUUAGGGUAAUUCCUAUUUCCUUAAUCAUUCCUAUUGACCAUGUUCUAUAAGCCUGCAUUCUAUAAAUGGCGUAUGACCAUGGGCUGUUUCCCCCCAGCAAGUUGUACAAAGUUCUGUGGUACCAGGGAAAGGGCUUAAGGUUAGCAGGGCCUCUGCGGAAGGACAUAUGAAGUGACUUGGGUUAGGAAACAGGAAGGGAUAGGAUUCAAGAACAGCUAUUGCUUCUGUUCUAUAUAGGAAACUGCAGCGUGAAAAAUGCUGGGCUGGGAAUUUUGAGACCUGGGUUUUAGUUUGUGUUCUAAUACUAACAAGCUAUGUGACUGUGGGUAAGUCAUUUCACAUUCCAUUUGGAUGCCUCUUGAGUGACUCCAGGCCUCUCCAGCUCUAAAACAUUAAGAUCAGGCCCUACGCUACAGCUGGCCAGUGUGUAAUUCUUCUGUUUCUAUGCUGUUAGGUCAAAUAGAUCUUCAAUAGUUACUUGAUUGUUAUUACUUUUUUCUGAAGUGGGUGUUUUAUCAAUGUUUUAGGAUACAGUGAGUCUGCUUCUCCCCUUUGGAGUUAGGAAGGUUGUAGGAAUAUACACUGUAGAGCAUAUGGGAGCUUUAUCCCCUCCUUUUUUCCCCGCUACCUUUCUCCCUCUCCUUCCCUUCAUCACAUUUCUAUUGAGCAUAUGCCAUUGCCGUGUACCAGGUGUGUGCUAGGUUUGGAGAUACAAGGUAAACCUGAGACUUUCCCAGUCUCCAGGAGACAAAACCCUAAUUUCUUUCAUCUGCUGUCUUUCUCUUUGGAAAGAAUCAACGAUAUCCCAGGGGAAUGUGCCCAUGUCCCAGGGUAACCAACUACAGACAGAUGCCCCAUUCUACUCAAGCAACUUUUAGAGUGCCUUGAGAUACACAUCAGAUAAUUAUGCAGGGCCAGGCAUGGUGCUGCACACUUGUAAUCACAGCACUUUGGGAGGCCGAGGCAGCAGAUUGCUUGAGCCCAGGAAUUCAAGUGUAGCCUAGGGAACAUGGCAAAACCCCAGCUCUACAAAAAAAUACACAAAUUAGCUGCGUGUGGUGGCCUAUGACAGGAGGCUGAGAUGGGAGGAUUGCUUGAGCCUGUGAGGUCGAGGCUGCAGUGAGCCGAGAUCAUGCCAUUACUCCAGCCUGGGUGACAUAGGGAGACCCUGUCUUGAAAAAAAAAAAAAAAAGAUAAUUAUUCAGCCCUAGAGUCAUUGUGAAAAGAUCUAUCUUCAGAUAUAAGGAAGAAACAAUCUUUUAUUUCUUAGGAUAAAUCUGUAGAAGGACCUCCAGACAGUGAAGGCCACUGACUACUUUAUACUCUGUAAGCCAUCCCUCCCUGGUAGGAAGGACUAUUUCCAAUCUUACAGAGUACCUCUCAGCAAAUAGACGUUUUCACAUAUACUGUGAUUCAUACAUCCCUAUGGCUGGUGACCUCUUUAAAAAGGAAAGGAAAAAGCCUAAUCAAACAAAAAGAUGCUGCUAGUAAUUCUUACCCUAUUGUGAAUCCUAUAUAAGCAAAUUUGUAUCUUUGUUUUUUCCUACAUUAGCAGAUCUAUUUGAUGUAUAUCUCUGAGUGCAGAAAAUAUUUUAUGGAAAAAUCAAUAUAUGGAAUUUCAAAUUCAGAAUUGCUGAUACACACUAUUUGGUUUCACAAUUUUAUCCUAGGAAAUAGUAUUAGAGAUUUCAAUUUCUGGCUUAAAUGGUAGAAUUAAUUACUCUUAACUCUUAAUUUUACUUCUGAGUUGAGGUCAAGGAACAGGCAGACACCUGCAGUUAACGUCUAUACCUCUCCAUGGCCAAGAGUUUUAAUUUUCUCGUCUUCAAUUUUGUAGAUGUUCAUCAUUACUAAAUGGAUUGAUUAGUAUUUUAUCUCCUCUCCUUGUCCUUACUUUCCCUCUGGUAAAUAUGUUAUAAACAGUGUAAGGCUCCUAAGAUAGAGUAGCUGGUAGGACUUAGAAGAGAAACAAAGGGCACUGAUAACUCACAUAAAUGGAAAAUUGGCUCUGGAAUAACUGACAACAUAUUCAAGUAUUUUAGUGCAGUGUCACUCUCAUUAAGAAGAAGAGAAUCAGUAAAUCUAUGUGACUCUAAACAUUCUAAUGAAAAAAGGAAUAUUCUGCCAAUUAUCUCACAUUUCUAAAUAUCUGGAUAUUGGCCAUUGUAAAGACAAAACAUACAGAUGAUGGACUUGUCUUUCCACCUCUCAUUUGCAUGGUUUGGAGCAUUGUACCUCCAGCCAUAGACUCUAAGGCAAUUUAUAUUUGCUUCCUCUUCCCUCUUGAGAGAAAACGAAAAUCUUAUUUUUCCAAGCAAUUAAAACUCUUCUGCUUCAGCUAGGAUGAAAGAAUUAGGAGUUCUGUCUCCUUGUAUCUAAUUGCAUGUUUCAUCUUUCUUGUUUUAAUGAUUGACAGAAAACUAAUAAACUGAGACAUCUUUGAAUCCAGGUUGAAUGUACUCUCUUGGUGGCCCCAUUGCUAAUUUGUUUGACUAUUUUGCAGGAUUUCUUACUCUGUAAUGGAAAGGUUUAUUAAAUAUGAGGGGUGCAAAGCUUUCUGAAUACUAAUGAACUUAUUUGCCAAAAUUUAAAUGUUCUUCUUGUCAGUGAAUGUCUGUCUCUCUUAACAGGAUCCAAAUUGAAUAAUGAAGAAAAUUAGACUCUAUUGUACCCUCAGGAGAAAUCGUGGUGAAUCGUAAUAGAAUACAGAGGGGGAAAGGGGUCACAUUUUAGAAAAAAAGAGUAGAUAAUUUGGAUUAUUAAAAAAGGGAUUAACUCAGGAAAACUCUGUUCUUUUCAAAGAAACGUACUCAUAGUCAUUCAAUGAGCAGGAUUUCCCACUGCACAAGCAUCUAUACCUUUGGCCAGUGUAGAAAGAGAGUAAGGUCAUAAUCAUAUGGAGAUGCAUGCUAGGUUUCAGUAGUUACAAUUUACUAAUCUCAUUCCCAUAUAAGGCCUUUAUAUGCCUGUAAUGGAAUGGGAAAAUCAAUAAGCUUUGAAAAGGAACACUAUUCUUCAGAGAAGUUCAAUGGGAGAUAGUUGAGUUGGGGAAAUUGCCCCAGUUCUUCCUUUAAGCAUGAAAUGAGGCUGUCCCUAUGUAUGUUUACUUCCAUUGCCUUGGUGUUAUCACUGAUAAAGUCAAUGAUCAUGAUGCCUUUGCCUUGGCAGCACCUGGGGGGCACUGAAGGAACCAAGUAGCUGUACUCAUGGCCAGGAAGGCAGGCUGCCAGAACUUCAGCAGCCACACAAGUGGCCAAACAUGGUCAGGAACGAAAGUAGUGUGUGUAUGGAGUGAAAUGAAAUGAUGAGAGGAAAGUGAAGGAUGAUAUAAAGAUGGGGCUGUCCAAAGAUGGGAGUUCAUCCCUGUCCUGCACUUGAAAUAGGAAGGAAAGAACUGGAGAAGGAUUAGGUGAGGAAGGAUCCUGAAAUAGAGAAAAUAAAGGGAAGACUGCAUGCCUGCAGUGUUUGCUAAAAUUAAUUCGCCUGAGAUUUCAGGAGGAGCAAAGAAAGAUCAAGAGAAAGGGAAAACAGCCUCAAAGCCUGUGAAGGUUGAAAAACAAAAUAUAAACAAAAAAUUUUUAAAGCUAAGAUUAUGCUCUUCUAAGAAAAGAGGCUGGACACUAACAGAAAGCUUGAUGACAGCAGGAUUUGUAUUUAGCGGUUUAUUUAGAUCCCUAAGAAAAAAGGCUUAUGUGACAUAGAUUCAUAAGACACAAAUGUGUCCUUGGCUGACCAUACUAGGCUUCACUCCCAAAGGAGAAAAAGAAUGGUCGGCGCAUCUCAGAUUAACACCAACCAACUGUGCAAUAUUUCAUUUUAGAAAGCGUUUCCUUGUAUUAUCCAUGAUUAAAUAAAAAGAGACCUAGUGUAUUUGAUUGCUUCUGUGGCAAGGCUUGAGAAUUACAAACCUAGGUUUCCCUCUGGGAAUGAUCAUUGGAUUUUUAAAAUUAAGUAAGUGGAAGGAGAUUAAGAUUUAUUUCCAUCAUUUCAAAUCAUGAUCUGCACCUUUGGAAACAAAAAGGAAGUUGGAAAGUGGGAAGGUGAGGUAGGUGUGCAAGAAUGGGGAGAAAGAUGCUGCAAGCCAAAUAAGACUGUAUAAUUUCUGAGAAAAUUAAAUGAACAAUAGAGUUUGAAGGAUAAGUGGGUAAUGAGGAAUAUGAGAUAAUAAGAUAUUAAAAAAUAGCAAAUUACUUGGGAAAGUGAGGAUGAAUGAUGGUAGAUAGUUAAGGGAUUUGGGAUGGCAAGGAAGGGAAGAGAUGACUAGGGUGGGAAACAAAACAUGAUUAAUGGCUGUAAAAGGGCAAGUUUGGACUCUCGAUGGCAUAUCUUCCCAAACUUUGGAGAAUGUGCAGAACUUAGUAAUAAAGAAGGAAAAGAUUAAAAGAGUUCAUGGUUAACAUGAAAUUGUGAGGACAACAGAGGAAGCAAUAAAUGUCAUUAGUCCUCAGGAAUGAAAGCAUUUCUAGAGAAACGUACUAGUCUAUGUUCUUCAUUUAUGAGCAGAAUAGUUUUCAUCUACUUUUUAAUAAAAGGUUAAUGUAUAAAAUGAAUGCUAUUAAAGGAAAGAAAAGCUAAGCAUUAUCAGGAAAGUUGAAGAAAAGAUUGCACCUAGAACAACUGAAGUAAACCAGCAAACCUAUUUUACAGCCUUUUCUAUAAAAUUUUGAAAUUCAUCAUCUUAAUGAAAGAACUGGAAAUAGUUUUUCCAAAUAGAAAUGGGUAAUGAUAAGGGAGGAAGUUUUAACAGUUAGAAAUAUUAUAGAAUGCAUUCUUUUACAUUUUUUCCCCAUAAAAAUGAGAGGAAGCUAAAAAACUUAUGGGUAUAGCUUUAAAUACUUUGGAUAAGAAGAUUUAUAGCAAUGUAAGGUUAUUGUUAGUAGUAGAAAUAACAUUAAUUUUUUAAAAAUAUUAGUAUUUGGAGCAGGACUAAAUACCAGUGAUCAUCCUUUUUGGUUUCUUGUGUUUGUGUAGGAGAUUCCUUUCAGACAGACAGUACCAGACCUCCUUAGGAGGGAAGCUGAUAAAGUAAUUUAGGUGGAAAGGUUUAAUGAGAUAAUGAUGCUAAGGCCAGUUAACAUCUAAUAAGAACAUAAUCAUGAGGGAUGAUAUUGUUGCUUAUUAAUUAUAAUGAUGCAGAGGAAAGAGACAAGGUGGCACUCAUUUAGCAGAGAGUACUCAGGAGUAAGACCGUUAUCCCAAAGGGGAAGUGUUGCAGUCAGAGUUAGAAGUAGGUCAACAUUUAGCAGAGUUUGAAAUUUAUGGCCGUUGGGUUAUACUAGCAACCACAGAACUGAAGGCCAGGCAGGAGGUAACAGAUGCCUUUCUGAUGGUGGCCAGGGAUGGAGUGGAGACUGCUGUGGUUGCUGGGCCAUGCACGGAGGCAGACUCCAGGGUGAGUUUUGGGAGCUGUCUGCUUGCCUUAGAUUCCACAGUGGUCAUUCGUGGGCAGACAGGCAGGUGUCCAGAACUGGACUGGAUGUGCUUCCAGUUCUGUGACCUUCCCCUCCACUCCACUGGGUCGGGUGAGUCAGACCCAAGGAUAGCUAUUCAGUCAGUGUUGGCGCCCAGCUUUGUUGAGGGAGCCCAGAAGAUCCUUUGGUCCUGUUUUUAGAGGCGCAGACCUAACUGUUAUCAGUUGAAUUGCAUUUAUGAUUCCUUGGUAUUAGUCACUAACCACAUUCCGCUUCCUGAAUUCAUUGCGGGUCUGGUCACCUCCAUGUUUGCCUAGGAUGGCAGAAUUGUAGUAUAAAUUUAUUGCAGAUACACUAAUGUCCAUAUUAGUCAGGUGGGCAGGAAUAAAGAAUUCGAGGAAGAAACAGCCAUGUGAAAAAAACAUGGAGCUUUUGGAAAUCUUGUGACUCCUCAAGGGAGGCAUAGAAGCUUGAAACAGAGGACUAGCCUGGGGAAGUUAAUUUGGGGCUGGGUAAGGAAUAUAAAAACUCUACCCCUUAUUCAGCACCUUUUCCCAAUAUGGGUCUCUCUCUGAGUCCUGGAUCCUAGGCUAUUGCUGACUCCUUUCUUGGGUCUUUGGAUGCCACCUCUGCAAUGAUAGGGAGGGGUUUUCUAUACCUUCUUGUAUAGUUAAUUUUAUUAGCUGGAUGAGGAUCACUUCACAGGAUUUU